UCCAGAGAAGGGCAGUGCUCGCUCAUGUAAGCUGCCUUAUCUUCCUCAACCUGCUUGGUUUCAGCUUCCAGCAGAUUGAAGGCAAUAGAAAGCACCAGGCUCUGAAAACACAAAACGAGAAAUCAGAUGAAAAACUCCGAUUGUGGAUUGAAGCUCACCUAUGAAGAAGAAGAGGGUUUCGCAAACUUAGAAGAAGAGGUGGAAGACCAGUAAGAGAAAAUUUAAAGAGGAUAUAUAUGUUGUGCCCUGAUGGCUCAGCACAUUUUGGAGGCCCUGUUUAUGGAAGUGGAUUCCACCCCAGACCAAUAGGCCGGCGAGAUCCUUAAAUAUCUUCACCCCUCAUAAAUUUGCCUUCCUUGAAGACGUCUUCCCAUUCUGUGUGCUGUAAACAGAAGCAGUGCUUAAUGUUACAAAUAAAUAAUCAAACCUGGUUGAAUCAUUCAAGCAUCUGUAUGAGAAACAACGGUGAGGGUUAUAUUGAUACUCAUAACAUGAGAGAUAUUUUAACAGGAAGAUUUUAUCAAUCCAUAAGUACUUACCAUUUCACAAAAGUAGGGUUGUUUAUAAAUUAAAGCUGUUUAUUGUUAAUAUCGCGUGGCAUUUCACAAGUUGUGUACUUUUUAGUAACAUAUAGUAACAACUGAAAUGAUAAAUGUAGAAAAGUGGAGUUAUAAAAGUAGAAGCAAUUGCUGUUGUGUGGAUACCCUUGCGCCCCCAUGUGGUCAUAUAGCAUGACAGCAUCUUCUCAAUCAACCCAUAAGAAACAUAACAGUAGUUUAUUCUAACUAUAGUAGCUGUUUAUAUAAACUACAAUAAUCAUAGAAGAGAUGAAAGACUUUAAAAAUAAAUCAAACAUGACGUUUUUCCUCAAAAGCAUUCAUUUAAUGGUAGUGGCUCUGCAAUGGUACAUUCGAUUACAGCACAUAGACAGUUACAAUGUGAGAAACAAAUGCUUGUUUGAGGCAGUAAAACAAAAAACUAUUGCAAAAGGAUGAAAGUCUGCGCAGCUCCGACGAAUUCCUACGAUAAUCCAACAAAGAAAUGUCCGGAAAUUUAGGCCUCGCCCUCAAACAUCUUCUUCCUGCCGUCCAUGCCGGCUUUGUCU